rnacentral:rRNA from 1 species
CGUGUAGGCGGUCAGGUAAGUGGAAUGUGAAAUCCCUCGGCUCACCCGAGGACCUGCAUCCCAAACUGCCUGGCUUGAGUAUGGGAGAGGAUGAGGGAAUUCCUGGUGUAGCGGUGAAAUGCGUAGAUAUCAGGAGGAACACCGGUGGCGAAGGUGCUCAUCUGGCCCGAUACUGACGCUGAGGCGCGAAAGCUAGGGGAGCAAACGGGAUUAGAUACCCCGGUAGUCCUAGCCGUAAACGGUGAUCACUAGGUGUUGGAGGCAUCGACCCCUCCAGUGCCGCAGCUAACGCACUAAGUGAUCCGCCUGGGGAGUACGGCCGCAAGGUUGAA